rnacentral:misc_RNA from 1 species
GAUGAAGAACGUAGCGAAAUGCGAUAAGUAAUGUGAAUUGCAGAAUUCAGUGAAUCAUCGAAUCUUUGAACGCACAUUGCGCCCCCUGGUAUUCCGGGGGGCAUGCCUGUCCGAGCGUCAUUACAACCCUCAAGCUCAGCUUGGUGUUGGGCCCCGCCGCCCCGGCGGGCCCUAAAGUCAGUGGCGGUGCCGUCCGGCUCCGAGCGUAGUAAUUCUUCUCGCUCUGGAGGUCCGGUCGUGUGCUCGCCAGCAACCCCCAAUUUUAUUCAGGUUGACCUCGGAUCAGGUAGGGAUACCCGCUGAACUUAAGCAUAUCAAUAAGCGGAGGA